AAAAAAAAAAAAAUCCCCCAGGCAGCAGUUGAAUCAUAAAUAAUACCCAAAUCAAUGAGGAAGAAGAGAGAAUUGUGGCUGUAGUGUUCAUACAGUUAUGUGAUUUGGGUAGCAAGUAACAGAAAACUUACACUGGCUGAAAGAAAAAGCCUAUUGUCUCAGCAGGAUGCCCCAAGUUAGGGAGAAUAAGGGUCUCCGUGAUUAUUAAGGACCCAGUUCUGUUCUUCAUGUAUUCCUUCAGAAUUUAAGUAUGGAUUCCAACCAUGCAUCAGGCACUGGGCGAGGCAAUGCCUGCCUAGUAUGCUGGCUUUUUCAUCACGCCAGCUUUCCUCAAGGACACAAGAUGGCGCCCUUGAUCCGGGCAUCACAUCCAGAUUCAGUUUCAUUCACAAGGAGGGAAGGCAGCCCUUUCUCGUUUUCCCUGACGUCUCCUAGCUAGCCUCUCCUCUCCUAUUAUUGGCCAGAAUUGUGUCACGUGUCCCCCACUUCAGCCAGUCAGUAGGCAGGAAACAGCAAUUGGCCUAAAGAAGCAGAUGGCAAUAUGGAGGAAGGAAGUAAUCCCAGCCAGGCCUGGGUUCUGUGAGAAACAGGAUGUGGGAAUUGAUAUUGCCUAGGCAACCAGUAGCAUCUACUACAGUCCUUUUUGCAGAUGUCCACCCUCCACGCCAACAUUGUCACCAAGAAUGGCUGUGGUUCAUUCUGGGUCUGUGAAGAGGUCACUUCUCUAGGGGCAGACAGGAUGGGCCUGCCUGCCAGCAAAAUCAAAACACCCUCCCAACUCAAAGAGACCCAGUAACGUCUAAGAGGUGGUCAUAGAAUCUGGAGAAACAUGGAAAUGGAGACCAAAAGAGGGAAGGAGGGAUGCCAUCAGACGACACUGGGAUCCCGGAAGACGGAACACUGUGUGCUAGUGGCAAAGUGUCCUCCAUGGGCUCAGCACUUUACAGACGUCACCUCACGUAACCCAUGCCACAAUUGGGAGAAAGCACGAUUGCCACGGUACCCACGAGGAACCAGAGAGGAAAAGGAGCUGUCCAGGACCACGGGGCUGGCUGGUUGGUGGAGGAGGCAGGAAAGCCCCGCAAAAAGGUAGGCCUGGGCCAGACAGGGUUUGAGAAUUCAGGCCCCAAGGGGCGGGGAGGAAGAAGACCAGGUCCCUGUACAAGAAUGGCCUGAGAGUGUUUAAAAGAUGGAGUGGCCCAGGUCAGGGGAGGAGAGCAGACAAAAGUGGCUGGCCAGGGCUGGCAUUUGCUUUUAGCCCAAUGCUAAGAUCAACAGAUGCUUCUGGGGGUCAGGAUGGGGCAGAAAUGAGUGGAGACUUCAAGGCAGAGGUUAGGAAACAGGACAGGACACUCGGCCCAAAUGAUAGUGCCAUCACUCCACAUCCCAGAGUUCAUGAGCUCUCUCAGUGUUUGUUUUAUUUAAACCUCCAAGAGUCAAAUGCCACUCACCAUCCAUGUGUGGACCAGUCUCCAGCUUUCCACCUCUGCUGAGAGUGAGGGUAGAGGAGCACCGUGUCUCUAACCCCUUCUAUGGUCAGGGAGCUCCCUCCAGGUCACCUGGUCACAGGCACCAUGAUUUAGAAAGUGCUGAAGCCAGAUCACCUGGGUUCAACCCCCUCCCCCAUCACAGCCUAGCAGCUGAUGGUUAACUCUGGCGAAUUUUCUUUUUCUUCUUUGUGCUCCUCUGUAUUUCUAAUUUUUCCACAAUGAACAUGCAUCACUUCUGUUUUUAAGAACUUUUCAAAAGGGAUUUCAACCUCUGACCACCUGGAGACAGACGACUGGCACUCUUUGUAAAUGCACUGACAUGACAGGGAACAGCUGCUGGGGAGGUGGAGACGGUGCAGGGAGAGACAGGAAGCCCCAGAGGCUUGGAAAUCCAGGAGCCACAGGAAGCAGUGAGCUUUGUGCAGAGCUAGAUCUGGUGGAGCCAAUUCACCAGCAGGUCCUGGCAGUGACUCUUCUACAACGGAUUCCCGCCUGUCCCUGUGCCCCAUUGCCCCCCUGCCAUCAAUCUCCGCCUCAUGGGAGGUGGACCAAGCCUUUCUGUGUGUAGCUCACCCCUCUCCCUGCUCAGAACUCACCUAGUGGCUUCCACGGCAUUUUCUCUUCUUUUUUUUUAAAGCGAUGGGACCUUGCUCUGUUGCCCAGGGUGGGGGGCAGUGGUAUGAUCAUGGCUCACUGCAGCUCACCCCUGGGCUCAAGUGAUCCUCCUGCCUCAGCCUCUCAAGUAGCUGGGACUACAGUUGUGCACCACCACAUCCAGCCAAUUAUUAUUUUUUGUAGACAUGGGAUCUCAUUAUGUUGCCUAGGCUGGUCUCGAACUCCUGGCCUCAAGCAAUCUUCUCACCUCAGUCUCCCUAAUUGCUGGAAUUAUAGGUAUGAGCCAUCCCGCCAGGCUUCCAUGGCAUUUCUAACAGUAUCCUUGAAGAACCUGCGUGAAUCCCUUUCCCACUGUCUAUCUGCACUGUCCCUGUCCUGUGCUAACCCUGCUCAGACACACUGGCUGUCUUUCUGGUCCUCCCACAGGCUAACCAAGGCCCCACCCCAGGGCCUUUCCACUUAGGGUUUUGCCUCUACCUAAAUACCCUACAUCGAUGCUGUCCAUAGAAAUAUGUAAUAAUGGGAGCCUCAUGUGCAAUUGGAAAUUUUCUAGCAGUAACAGAGGAAAUUAAAUUUAAUAUAUUUUAUUUCACCUAAUAGAUCCAAAAUAGUAUCAUUUCAAUAUGUAAUCAAUAUUAAAAAAUUCCUAAUGAGA